UACGUAGGGCGCAAGCGUUAUCCGGAAUUAUUGGGCGUAAAGAGCUCGUAGGCGGUUUGUCGCGUCUGCUGUGAAAACGCGGGGCUCAACUCCGGGCCUGCAGUGGGUACGGGCAGACUAGAGUUCGGUAGGGGAGUCUGGAAUUCCUGGUGUAGCGGUGAAAUGCGCAGAUAUCAGGAGGAACACCGGUGGCGAAGGCGGGACUCUGGGCCGAUACUGACGCUGAGGAGCGAAAGCGUGGGGAGCAAACAGG
rnacentral:rRNA from 1 species